rnacentral:rRNA from 1 species
AUUGAACGCUGGCGGCAGGCCUAACACAUGCAAGUCGAACGAGCGGCGGACGGGUGAGUAAUGCCUGGGAAUUGCCCAGUAGCGGGGGAUAACCGUUGGAAACGACUGCUAAUACCGCAUACGAUUGUAUUGCCCAUGUGGGAUUAGGUAGUGGGUGAGGUAAUGUCUCACAAAGGCGACGCACCCUAGCUGGUCUGAGAGGAUGAGCAGCCACACGGGAACUGAGACACGGUCCAGACUCCUACGGGAGGCAGCAGUGGGGAAUAUUGCACAAUGGGGGAAACCCUGAUGCAGCCAUGCCGCGUGUGUGAAGAAGGCCGUCGGGUUGUAAAGCACGUGCAGCGAGGAGGCGUUACUCGCAGAAGAAGCACCGGCUAACUCCGUGCCAGCAGCCGCGGUAAUAC